rnacentral:rRNA from 1 species
UACAGAGGGUGCAAGCGUUGUUCGGAAUUAUUGGGCGUAAAGCGCGUGUAGGCGGCAGUGCAAGUCGGGUGUGAAAGCCCCGGGCUCAACCCGGGAAGUGCACUCGAUACUGUCGAGCUAGAGUAUCGGAGAGGUUGGUGGAAUUCUCGGUGUAGAGGUGAAAUUCGUAGAUAUCGAGAGGAACACCGGUGGCGAAGGCGGCCAACUGGACGAAUACUGACGCUGAGACUCGAAAGCGUGGGGAGCAAACAGG